rnacentral:lncRNA from 1 species
AAACUUGUUGUCUUCUUCACCCAAAACUCUCCUGCCGAACGAUUUGAAAAACGUUUUAGUUGACUUCCCCCCUGUUCAAAACUCAGUCGAAGUUGUCUAGUAUUUGUCGUCUUCGGCACGACCUUUGAAACUCACUCGACUUCCACAUCGCGCAUUCAAAACUCAGGUGAACUUCGUUUGAACUUUGUCCAGUCAGUUCGAUAGAAAAGACGUGGUGCUUGCUUUCUUCCAGUCGCAUUAUGAGUCCUUGUUUCCACAAUAUUCGACAUCAUACUUCAUUCCCUAAAGUCAAUUUGAAAUUUGGUGAGUUUGGAAUUUGAAACCUUAGAAAUAAAUUUUGUUAUUUUUGUCAAAUUUGAUUAAAUAAUUUAGUGUUUAAGGUUAAUUAUGCAUGUUCAUUGAUGAAAUUAGUUGAAAUUGAUGCAUAUUUGUAGAAUUUUUGGGAAAUUUGGGUGUGAUGUGAUGAAGUGUUGUUGACAGGUUGUGUAUAAGGGCUAUGCUAUUCACUUUGUUUUGUUGAAGUUAUAUUGUUGAGUUGUGAUUGAUUUGAAUACCUAAACACUUUGCCUCGAGAUUGAUGAAUGUGAAGAUCGAAGCUACUCAGAGAAUGAAUGGUUGCCUCUUGCAAAAUGUAUCCAUGCGAUAAGCGUAAUCAUUACGAUCUUUUAUUGCAUGACAUUGAAGACCUCACACCUGAAUUCGAAGUGCAUUCUUCGCAUCGUAGCAGGUCGGACCACCACACAAAGUUUGAAGACUAACCG